rnacentral:rRNA from 1 species
CGCGAGCUGCUCUAUUUCCUGGGCUUCGAGUCGACAAGCCCCACGGUGGCGUCGGCGCUGGGCAACCUGGUGCCCGCCCUGACGUUCGUCAUCGCGGCGACGGCCAAGAUGGAGACGCUGAGGCUCAAAACGCGCGCCGGGCAGGCCAAGGUCGCCGGCACGGUCGCCUGCCUCGGCGGAUCAAUGGUGAUGCUCUUCUGCAAGGGCCCCCUGCUCAAGAUCUGGGCCUCACCGCUCCACUGGAGGUACGCCGAGGAGAUCGCCGCCGCUGCGGCAGCGAAGGCCACAGGCGCCCGAAGCCCCGUGUCGGUCGGCGACGUGCUCAUCAUCCUCAGCUGCGUGGCCUGGGCCGGAUGGCUGAUUCUACAGAACAAGACCUCGCAACGGUUCGCAGCGCCUUACACCGGCACCAUCAUCAUGUCUCUGAUCGUGGGUGUGGAGUUCGCGGUGGUGAGCGCCGCCGUGGACCAGCGCGCCUCCGUGUGGGAGCUCGGGUCCGGCAUCCGGCUCUACUCCGUCCUCUACAUGGGGGUCGUGGGCUGGGGGGCCACCUUUGUGGUGAUGACGUGGUGCAUUAAGCUGCGUGGCCCACUGUUCGUCUCCAUGUUCAACCCCGUGGUGUUGGUGGUCUGCGCCGUGCUGGGCUGGGCGUUCCUCGGCGAAAAGAUACACCUUGGAGAUGCGGUUGGAUCGGUGCUCAUCGUGGCCGGCCUCUACAUGGUGCUAUGGGGAAAGGCCAGGGAGGCGCACGAGCCGUCCCACAUCGAGGAUGGUGCCGGCACCAAUGUGUGA